rnacentral:misc_RNA from 1 species
CGAUGUGCGUUUAACUCUGGCGGAGGUCGUGGUCUAUGGAGAUCGUUGUGAGAGAGUAAUGUGUUUGCUCUUCGGCUAGAGAGCCGUGGUGUUAGAGGAAUUCACUCGGAGAUUUCUGAAGGCUUGGUUGUAACUUGUUGUGGAAGUAGAGUACGUCUAUAGUUUUGGUUGUGAUAACGUCGAUGGUACAUGGCUGUGGUAUUUAUGUGUAGUGAUUAGUUAUGACUGAGAUUAUUGUAAAGUUCUUCAAAUAUCUUAAGUUUAGAGCGUAGAGUUUGUCUACUUUCCCCUUUUACGUAGUUUGACUGAGUAGCAUGAGCUGCUGUCACUCGAUUUAGGUGACAGUGGCGACUCUUGAUUACGGUUAUCGUCACUCGAUGGAGGUGGCAAGGUUAUCGUCACUCGCUGAGUGGCAUGAGCUACUGUCGCUCGAUUUAGGUGACAGUAGCGACUGUUUCAAUUACGGUUAUCGUCACUCUCUGAGUGGCAUGAGUUACUGUCGCUCGAUUUAGGUGACAGUGGCGACUCUUGAUUACGGUUAUCGUCACUCGAUGGAGGUGGCAAGGUUAUCGUCACUCGCUGAGUGGCAUGAGCUACUGUCGCUCGAUUUAGGUGACAGUAGCGACUGUUUCAAUUACGGUUAUCGUCACUCUCUGAGUGGCAUGAGUUACUGUCGCUCGAUUUAGGUGACAGUAACGACUCUUUCAAUUACGGUUAUCGUCACUCUCUGAGUGGCAUGAGUUACUGUCGCUCGAUUUAGGUGACAGUAACGACUCUUUUAAUUAAGGUUAUCGUCACUCUCUGAGUGGCAUGAGCUGCUGUCGCUCGAUUUAGGUGACAGUGGCGACUUUCUUCUUAGUCGUUCACUCUUGACAGAGUGGUCGUGGUUGACGACGAUUCAUUGGCUAAAGUAGCCCCCGCUAUACGUCUCCACUUGAUGCGGUUUUCGGCAUCUCGAGAACUCUGGACUAUGGAGGUCUGUGUCGCAGCUUUGAUAAGGUCUGUCCAGCGCGUAGGUGAUCGACGAGUCGCUCUAUGGAUUGUUCGUUUCGAACAAUGUGUCUGAAAUAUUUCAGGAUUCGAGUUUGCA